UGCUGGACUGAGGGAUAGCUCAGUUGAUAGAGCAUGAAACUCUUAAUCUCAGGGUUGUGAGUUCAAGACCCAGGUUGGGCAA